rnacentral:rRNA from 1 species
UACAGAGGUCCCAAGCGUUGUUCGGAUUCACUGGGCGUAAAGGGUGCGUAGGUGGUCGGGUAAGUCUGAUGUGAAAUCUCGGAGCUUAACUCCGAAACUGCAUUGGAUACUAUUCGGCUGGAGGGUUGGAGGGGGGACUGGAAUUCUCGGUGUAGCAGUGAAAUGCGUAGAGAUGCGGAGGAACACCGAUGGCGAAGGCAACCCCCUGGGCUGACACUGACGCUCAGGCACGAAAGCGUGGGGAGCAAACAGG